UCCCUGGUGGUCCAGUGGUUAAGACUCCCCACUUCCAAUGCAGGGGACACGGGUUAGAUCCUUGUUCGGGGAA
rfam:TPA: Bos taurus chromosome 10, whole genome shotgun sequence.